GGCGAGUGGCGAACGGGUGAGUAAUACAUCGGAACGUGCCCUGUAGUGGGGGAUAACUAGUCGAAAGAUAGCUAAUACCGCAUGCGACCUGAGGGUGAAAGUGGGGGACCGCAAGGCCUCAUGCUAUAGGAGCGGCCGAUGUCUGAUUAGCUAGUUGGUGAGGUAAAGGCUCACCAAGGCGACGAUCAGUAGCUGGUCUGAGAGGACGAUCAGCCACACUGGGACUGAGACACGGCCCAGACUCCUACGGGAGGCAGCAGUGGGGAAUUUUGGACAAUGGGCGAAAGCCUGAUCCAGCAAUGCCGCGUGUGUGAAGAAGGCCUUCGGGUUGUAAAGCACUUUUGUCCGGAAAGAAAUGGCUCUGGUUAAUACCUGGGGUCGAUGACGGUACCGGAAGAAUAAGGACCGGCUAACUACGUGCCAGCAGCCGCGGUAAUACGUAGGGUCCAAGCGUUAAUCGGAAUUACUGGGCGUAAAGCGUGCGCAGGCGGUUGUGCAAGACCGAUGUGAAAUCCCCGAGCUUAACUUGGGAAUUGCAUUGGUGACUGCACGGCUAGAGUGUGUCAGAGGGGGGUAGAAUUCCACGUGUAGCAGUGAAAUGCGUAGAGAUGUGGAGGAAUACCGAUGGCGAAGGCAGCCCCCUGGGAUAACACUGACGCUCAUGCACGAAAGCGUGGGGAGCA
rnacentral:rRNA from 1 species